AUUGACCUCGGAUCAGGUAGGGAUACCCGCUGAACUUAAGCAUAUCAAUAAGCGGAGGAAAAGAAACCAACAGGGAUUGCCUCAGUAACGGCGAGUGAAGCGGCAACAGCUCAAAUUUGAAAUCUGGCCCCGUCGGGGUCCGAGUUGUAAUUUGUAGAGAGUGUUUCGGGUGAGACCACGGUCUAAGUCUAUUGGAACAUGGCGUCAUAGAGGGUGAGAAUCCCGUAUGUGACCGUGGCUCGAGCCCAUGUGAAGCCUCUUCGACGAGUCGAGUUGUUUGGGAAUGCAGCUCAAAAUGGGUGGUAAAUUUCAUCUAAAGCUAAAUACUGGCUGGAGACCGAUAGCGCACAAGUAGAGUGAUCGAAAGAUGAAAAGCACUUUGGAAAGAGAGUCAAAAAGUACGUGAAAUUGUUGAAAGGGAAGCGCUUGCAACCAGACCUGUCCGUAGGUGAUCAACCGCUGUUCUCAGUGGUGCACUCGCUCUGCGAUCAGGCCAGCAUCGGUUCCGGCGGUCGGAUAAAGGCCUUGGGAAUGUAGCUCCCUUCGGGGAGUCUUAUAGCCCUCGGUGCAAUGCGGCCAGCCGGGACCGAGGACCGCGCUUCGGCUAGGAUGCUGGCGUAAUGGUUGUAAGCGACCCGUCUUGAAACACGGACCAAGGAGUCUAACAUCUAUGCGAGUGUUUGGGUGUUAAACCCAUGCGCGGAAUGAAAGUGAACGGAGGUGAGAACCCUUUAGGGCGCAUCAUCGACCGAUCCAGAUGUCUUCGGAUGGAUUUGAGUAUGAGCAUAGCUGUUGGGACCCGAAAGAUGGUGAACUAUGCCUGAAUAGGGUGAAGCCAGAGGAAACUCUGGUGGAGGCUCGCAGCGGUUNUGACGUGCAAAUCGAUCGUCAAAUUUGGGUAUAGG
rnacentral:rRNA from 1 species